rnacentral:lncRNA from 1 species
UCCAUCUACCAAAUCUCUCAAACGAUAGUGACCUUAUAAAACCAAUGUUAAGAAAUGAUUCUUCCAGCAAAACAUCCUUCAAAAUUCAAAAUUCUCCACUUAUAUUGAUGGCAUUAGAGUUCAGCUAGAAGAAUCCUACUUUCCAUAAACAUCAUCCAUUAAGCAGAUUCACUUUUACAAAAUCCUGCCUAUACAUAAGUCUUAGUGAGCCCACAAAUUUUUUAUUUGCUUAUAGCUCCAAGCCUCUGGCAAUAACAUGUGACUCAUUUUCAGAUACUUGCCUCAGUAACAAUCAUGACAUAGAAGUUCAAUGUAAAUGAUUUUAGGAUGUAUCCCUUCCCUGUAACCUUCAAUAGAAAUUUAUAUAUCAGGGGAUUGCUAUCAGUAUGAUCAGUUUGUCUGAAGAGAAAGCUCCAUAGAAGCUAGAGAGAGAAGCACCACAUAUUAGGUCAAAGUAAUGAUGAUCAAAUGUUAAAGGUCACAUCAUGAAACUUUUACAUGGUCAGAAUGAUACACUAAAACACACUGGACAAAUAGAAAACCUAGAUACAUUGACAUUAUUUAAUAGUUAAUACCAAGGAUUUUAAUUUCGAACGGGCAGUACAUACCGGUCCGUAAGCAUACCAGUACACGAACCGUCCGCUACCGAGCGAUAGCAUCGAUUGCGACUGUUUCCGUUCCUAAAUCAGUCGGUGAUGGAGAAAAAAGAAGAGGGAGAAGAAAGAAGAAAACUUGGAGAUUCGACACAACGACGAAGCCUCGGCGACGUCGCGGGGAGAAGCGAUUUCUUGUCCCCAACAGAAGAAACCAAGCGAGGAGAUGCCUUUCUUUUUCUUUUUUUUUGCGCGGGGAAACCAAGCGACGUCACCGAGGCGACGUUGCCUUUCCCCCUUUUUUUUUGCACGGGGAAACCGA